rnacentral:lncRNA from 1 species
ACCCAGAAUCCUCUGAGCUUACCAGAGCUCAUUUGGUGCUACCCCAGUGCUCACGACCCCUUUGGCCCCACCUUUCCCUUGUUCUGUCACCAUCUGGGGAGUGGUUGUCCCUGGUCCACCUUGCAUCCUCUGGAUACAAGGUCUUUCCUAUAGAGACCUUGGCAGUGUCCCCAGGACCUUCCCAUUUCCUCUUCCCAGCCUCCCAGCAUUUCUUCACAGCACCUUCCUUGCUUCAGACAGCCCCAGAGGGAGCCGCGCUGCACCCCAUUCCUAAAGCACCCCAUUGUCGCCUAUCCAUCCUACCCCAUUUGUCCACAUCCACUGCCUACCUCCCUGAUGUCUAGCCCCAGCUGGUGGACUCUCCAGUCCACCCGACAGACCGUUCCCUCCCCAGCUUGUCCUAUCACUUCCUGCCUGUUCUUUAGGUUCUGCUGAGAUGAGGGCUUUUCCUCCAAGAAGCCUUCCUGGGCUUGGGUUCCAUCUUGGUGCUCCCAUGUAGUCAACCAUGGUACAUGGGUACUGCCAACAGAGGCUGCCGCCUCUUCAGCCUGUGCUCUUGUAGCUGGAGCAGGUAGUCUUUGGGGGAAGGGACUUGGAGAGAGAAGGUAGAAGUUGCAUCAAGGAGGGAAAUCAUAGGGUCCCUGGGGAAUAUCUGAAGGGACUACCAGGACAGGGCAGGCAGGACCAGCUGGUGAAGGCACUCAUUGUCCUCAGAGGUCCUGUCAAGCCGCAUGGAGGGCAUGAUGGCUUCCUACACGCCGCUGGCCCCUCCACAACAGCAGAUCGUGGCCAUGGAGCAGAGCCCCUACGGAAGCAGCGACCCCUUCCAGCAGGGCCUCACGCCACCCCAAAUGCCAGGGAAUGACUCCAUCUUCCACGAUAUCGAUAGCGAUACCUCCCUCACCAGCCUCAGCGACUGCUUCCUCGGCUCCUCUGAUGUGGGCUCCCUGCAGGCCCGUGUGGGGAACCCCAUCGACCGGCUCUACUCCAUGCAGAGCUCCUACUUUGCCUCCUGAGAGCCAGCUGGGCCGCAUGGACGCUUGGGCCUAGGCCUAGGGUGGGACCACAGGCCUCUGCAGCCAGCCGGCCCCCCAGCCCACCACCCACUCAGACUCAACAGACAGCCAUAUGGUGCCCUCCCCUCGGCCAGCCGGACCUGGCUCAAGUGCCCACUGGGCACAGCCAGACAGGCAGAUGGGUGCAGCCUGGGCAGGGAUUGUGUCCUGCCCACAGAGACCUUGUGACUCCUGGGGACCCAGAGCUCUUGGACAGCCACUCGCCUCCCAGCCCUUUGACUCCAUCACCUCCUUUCCCCUCUCCACCUCUUUUUUUUGGGGAAGUUUGUAUUUGUUCUAUUUUUUUUAAACAUUCUAUUUCCAGCCAACCUCCAUUGUCCCUGCAAGGCCAGCCCUGGGACAGUGCCUGGUACCGGAGAAAUGGUUAUACGGGUGUCCUGCGCAGGUGACCACUUCCCUUUCUGGUCAGCGCAGGGGAUGGUUUCUGGGUCCUAGGAGGCCCAGGGUCACUGUCCCCAGCCCUAGGCUGGGGCAGAGUAAAGGAGGAACCAAGCAGGGGUGACAGGCUCUUUGUCCCUGCCUGAACUAGGAGUCACAAGCAAGAGGAGGGAUGUGGGCAGAGCCCAGAGAGACCCAAAGGGACAGAGAUGCACAUGUAAAGGCCCACACAUCUGUAGGCACACCUGUGCAAACAUGCAUAUACUUCUGGGUGUACACACACACACACACAC